rnacentral:rRNA from 1 species
CACGGGGGUUGCGAGCGUUGUCCGGAAUUACUAGGCGUAAAGGGCAGGCAGGCGGAUCCAUAAGUUUAUCGUUUAAGGCGUCGGCUUAACCGGCGUAGGGCGGUAGAUACUGUGGAUCUGGAAUGCGGUUGGGGAAGACAGAAUUCCUGGUGUAGCGGUGAAAUGCGUAGAUAUCGGGAGGAACACCGGUGGCGAAGGCGGCUUUCUGGCCAGUUACUGACGCUCAUGCGCGAAAGCUGGGGUAGCGAACCGGAUUAGAUACCCCCCGUAGUCCCUGAGCGGGCUGG